rnacentral:rRNA from 1 species
AGCGAACGCUGGCGGCAGGCCUAACACAUGCAAGUCGAACGAACUCUUCGGAGUUAGUGGCGGACGGGUGAGUAACACGUGGGAACGUGCCUUUUGGUUCGGAAUAACUCAGGGAAACUUGUGCUAAUACCGAAUGUGCCCUUCGGGGGAAAGAUUUAUCGCCAUUAGAGCGGCCCGCGUCUGAUUAGCUAGUUGGUGAGGUAACGGCUCACCAAGGCGACGAUCAGUAGCUGGUCUGAGAGGAUGACCAGCCACACUGGGACUGAGACACGGCCCAGACUCCUACGGGAGGCAGCAGUGGGGAAUCUUGCGCAAUGGGCGAAAGCCUGACGCAGCCAGGCCGCGUGAAUGAUGAAGGUCUUAGGAUUGUAAAAUGCUUUCACCGGGGACGAUAAUGACGGUACCCGGAGAAGAAGCCCCGGCUAACUUCGUG